rnacentral:tmRNA from 1 species
GGGGCUGACAUGGAUUUGACAGCAGGAUGGUAUGUCAUGUAAGCACGCAGAGAGUUGGAGGCCGCUCUCUAUAAUCUCAGACUUUCAAAAAUUUAAUUGGCGAAAACAACUACGCUCUCGCUGCCUAAUCGAAGUACAGUAGAUUACUGGCCUAAUCUCGGCACAAGGUGCUGAGACGAGACAUCGCUCAGGAGCUCUCGUCCCGAAGCGUCUGACAAAGCGGUGCAGGAAAAUCGGGAAUAGUCAGGGGUGACGUCUCUAACCCCAGAUGAAAUUCCAUAGAGACUAAGGCACCGGUUGGUGGUCCAGGUCUUGCCGUUGCACUAAAACCAAAGGCUGGAAUAAGCGUGUAGAAAGCAUGGGAUGCUCCUGUUUGGACGAGGGUUCAAUUCCCUCCAGCUCCACA